rnacentral:rRNA from 1 species
GACGAACGCUGGCGGCGUGCUUAACACAUGCAAGUCGAACGGAAAGGCCCUGCUUUUGUGGGGUGCUCGAGUGGCGAACGGGUGAGUAACACGUGAGUAACCUGCCCUUGACUUUGGGAUAACUUCAGGAAACUGGGGCUAAUACCAGAUAGGAGCUCCUGCUGCAUGGUGGGGGUCGGAAAGUUUCGGCGGUUGGGGAUGGACUCGCGGCUUAUCAGCUUGUUGGUGGGGUAGUGGCUUACCAAGGCUUUGACGGGUAGCCGGCCUGAGAGGGUGACCGGCCACAUUGGGACUGAGAUACGGCCCAGACUCCUACGGGAGGCAGCGGUGGGGAGUGUUGCACAAUGGGCGGAAGCCUGAUGCAGCAACGCCGCGUGCGGGAUGACGGCCUUCGGGUUGUAAACCGCUUUCGCCUGUGACGAAGCGUGAGUGACGGUAAUGGGUAAAGAAGCACCGGCUAACUACGUG